AUGCUGCAGGGCAAUGAGUAUGAACUUGCUCCUGGUAAGGUGACCAGGAGCAGCCAACUUGGUGAUGGGUGUUGCUGGAGUCAUGGCAACUUUGUUGCUCGUCGGAAGUGCUCUGGCUGCUUCUCUUUCCUGCCGGUUCCACAAACUCUCUUUUUCUUUGAGCACGUCUGUAGAGCUGAUUUCGAAGGAGUUGUCACAUGCAUUCCUUUAGAUGAACCAGUGAUUGAAGCCUACACCUUUCUUGGUUUCCGUCUUCUGUGGGGUACUCGUCGUCUUGGUGGCUGUCUCUCUCUCUCUCUCUCUGCACAUUACCCUCUUAAAUUUCUCUGUUGCCUGAUUUCCUCUGUUAUCUUUUCAGCGGAUUGCGUUUGCAAGACAUGCUACCGUCUCUUCAAUAUUCCACACCCUUGUUUGAAGAGGACAUGUACAUGUGGACAUAGCAGGGUGGAGAAAAUAUGUGAAAUGUGUUAUAAUCGAAGCGGUGUGCUGCAUCCAUUCAGAGGAGAAUUCCAGUUUGGCUAUCACAAAUAG
rnacentral:rRNA from 1 species